rnacentral:rRNA from 1 species
UACGGAGGGUGCAAGCGUUAUCCGGAUUCACUGGGUUUAAAGGGUGCGUAGGUGGUCCGUUAAGUCAGUUGUGAAAUCCCCGGGCUCAACCCGGGAAAUGCUUCUGAUACUGGCGGACUUGAGGCCAGUAGGGGUCACUAGAACUGACGGUGGAGCGGUGAAAUGCGUAGAUAUCGUCAGGAAUGCCGGUGGUGAAGACGGGUGACUGGGCUGGUUCUGACACUGAGGCACGAAAGCGUGGGGAGCGAACGGG